UACAGAGGGUGCAAGCGUUAUUCGGAAUCACUGGGCGUAAAGAGCUCGUAGGCGGUUUAUUAAGUCAUAUGUGAAAUCCCUGGGCUCAAUCCAGGACGUGCAUCUGAUACUGAUUGACUAGAGUGCAGGAGAGGAAAGCGGAAUUCCAGGUGUAGAGGUGAAAUUCGUAGAUAUCUGGAGGAACAACAGAAGCGAAGGCGGCUUUCUGGACUGUAACUGACGCUGAGGAGCGAAAGCGUGGGGAGCAAACAGG
rnacentral:rRNA from 1 species